rnacentral:rRNA from 1 species
CCGUAGCCCAAGAGAUCGGGAUAACACCUGGAAACAGAUGCUAAUACCGGAUAAUAACAGAUGAUGCCUAUCAACUGUUUAAAAGAUGGUUCUGCUAUCACUCUUGGAUGGACCUGCGGUGCAUUAGCUAGUUGGUAGGGUAACGGCCUACCAAGGCGAUGAUGCAUAGCCGAGUUGAGAGACUGAUCGGCCACAUUGGGACUGAGACACGGCCCAAACUCCUACGGGAGGCAGCAGAC